AGUCGAGCGAAUCGAUGGGAGCUUGCUCCCUGAGAUUAGCGGCGGACGGGUGAGUAACACGUGGGCAACCUGCCUAUAAGACUGGGAUAACUUCGGGAAACCGGAGCUAAUACCGGAUACGUUCUUUUCUCGCAUGAGAGAAGAUGGAAAGACGGUUUACGCUGUCACUUAUAGAUGGGCCCGCGGCGCAUUAGCUAGUUGGUGAGGUAAUGGCUCACCAAGGCGACGAUGCGUAGCCGACCUGAGAGGGUGAUCGGCCACACUGGGACUGAGACACGGCCCAGACUCCUACGGGAGGCAGCAGUAGGGAAUCUUCCGCAAUGGACGAAAGUCUGACGGAGCAACGCCGCGUGAACGAAGAAGGCCUUCGGGUCGUAAAGUUCUGUUGUUAGGGAAGAACAAGUACCAGAGUAACUGCUGGUACCUUGACGGUACCUAACCAGAAAGCCACGGCUAACUACGUGCCAGCAGCCGCGGUAAUACGUAGGUGGCAAGCGUUGUCCGGAAUUAUUGGGCGUAAAGCGCGCGCAGGUGGUUCCUUAAGUCUGAUGUGAAAGCCCACGGCUCAACCGUGGAGGGUCAUUGGAAACUGGGGAACUUGAGUGCAGAAGAGGAAA
rnacentral:rRNA from 1 species